AGUAGUUUUCGCUGCCAGAUCAGAAUCAGGUUCUCCUCGCUCGUCGAUCGUCUUCCGCUACUUAACCCCCGCACACACACCGCCCCCAUUUCCAUCCUGCACACAGCCAUUUCACUUGCUUUGCUCCACGCCUCCACCUACCUAAAUCGCUCUCAUUAGUACUCAAUUAAGUCGAUCGGCGAGCGAUUCAGCGCGGCUCCUCGACCGAUCUCUCCGUUUCGUCAGAUCGAUCGAUCGAUCGAUCAGGGCUGUGUAUUGCGCCGUGUAGUACGUGAGAGGAUCGGAGUCGGAGCAGCGAGCGAGAUUUGUUGAAGCAAAUUAAGUAGAUCGAUCUCAUAUCGAUCAUCCUUAAUUAAUUUAUCAUGGAGCUGGUGCUGGUGAUAUCGCUGCCGCUGCUGGCGCUCAUCAUAAUCGUCGCCAUCGUCCUCUGCGUCAUCUGCCGCUAGCUUAGCUGAUUCCUUCCUGCCUCCGCGAUCAUUUUGCAUACAUGUAGUAUGUCAGUAUGUGGUGCAUCAAAUGUGAUCAUUUUGCCGCCCGUUGUUGUUGGGCACGGUGAUUGACGACAGAAAGAAUUACUCCCUUCAUAUUUUAAUGUAUGACACCAUUGACUUUUUAACCAACGUUUGACCAUUCGUCUUAUUCAAAUUUUUUAUACAAAUACAAGAAUAUUUAUGUCAUGUUUAAAGAACAUUUGAUGAUAAAUCAAGUCACAAUAAAAUAAAUGAUAAUUACAUAAGUUUUUUAAAUAAGACAAAAUGUUAAACGUUUAUUAAAAAAUUAAUGGUGUCAUACAUUAAAAUUAAAAUACAGAGGGAGUACUAGAGAACACAUGGCUUCUUGUUCCUUCUUUGGCCUGGUAUGGUGUGAGUCGUUGUGACUAGUGUGCUCCCAAUCCAGGCUGCCUAUACAUUUGUCCAUUUCUUCUUCUUCUUCUUCUUUUUCUUCUUCUUCUUCUUCGUUUUUCUGUUGGUUACUGAUGAGUUCUUUUGCUAAGGUUUCCAACUCUACUCUCUUAUUUUUCACGUGUAUAUGCUUUCCAAACUACUGAUCAAUAUCUUUUUUUUUCAAAAUUUCUAUGCGAAAGUUACUUUAGAAAAUCGUAUUAACCUAUUUUUUAUUAAAAAAACUAAUACUUAAUUAAUCAUAUAUUGAUGAGUCAAUCUAUCCUUAUAUGUAUGAAAGAUUAGUUCACACCACUACCAACCGAACGCAGCUCUAACACGAAAGGCAUCGAUUCCAAGCGUGCGGUAGUCUGUCCAUGGUGAGUGCGUGAGAAGAUGAUCCCAACGGAAGAAGAGCACAUACCGUGCACAGUACAGCUCCUGUGCUGUGUGUACGCCUAGCUGCAGGCAGCACCGGCCGGCACGUGGCACGCGGUUUUUCUGGGCUUUUGGCCUCUUCCCCCUAGGCUCGCACCCCCACCACCACCCGAUUCCCGGAACCCGCCCCAUUUCCGCCUCCUCCUUCGCCUUCGCGGCUUCGCCUCUCUCCCACACAUGCAUCGCCAUCGCCGUCAUCGUCAGGACUAAGCUCUGCUCUGCAUCUGCACCACCACCCAGCUGCAGCCCGAACAAGAAGACGAGCAUCUCAUCUCAUCUCAUCUGCCGAUCGAUCGAUUCGCUGCAGGGAGAGCUGAACAAUGGAGUUCGUGUUGAUCAUCUCGCUGCCGCUCCUCAUCCUGAUCAUAAUCGUCGCGGUGGUUCUCUGCAUCAUCUGCCGCUAGCUGAAUGGUGACACCUCAUUGUUCUUCCUGCCCAUAUCUUGAUGUGAACAUAUCAUGUAUCAAUUGAUUAGUAUCUCAUGACUCACAACAGAGCAGUCUCGUACUCUCUUUGGGGGGCCAGUGUGGUUGUGAUUAGUUUGGCCCUAGCUUUGAUGAGCAAAAAGACAUUGAUUCUGAAUGUCAUACAUACAUAUGUGCUGUGAGAAUCCCCUCUCUGCUUUGGUUCGUUUUUGAUAUUAUUCAUACGGGAGAUCGGACAGCUGAAAGCAUGAUAUUCUCAUUCUCUUUGUCAUUCUUCUGAAGAUCAGAAGCAUCA